rnacentral:tRNA from 18 species
UGGGUACGUAGCUCAAUGGAUAGAGCAUCCGCCUUCUAAGCGGACGGUUGUAGGUUCGAUCCCUACCGUACCCGU